UACGUAGGGUGCGAGCGUUAAUCGUAAUUACUGGGCGUAAAGCGUGCGCAGGCGGCUUGCUAAGACAGGUGUGAAAGCCCCGAGCUUAACUUGGGAAUGGCGCUUGUGACUGGCAGGCUGGAGUGUGGCAGAGGGAGGUGGAAUUCCACGUGUAGCAGUGAAAUGCGUAGAGAUGUGGAGGAACACCGAUGGCGAAGGCAGCCUCCUGGGCCAACACUGACGCUCAUGCACGAAAGCGUGGGGAGCAAACAGG
rnacentral:rRNA from 1 species